rnacentral:tmRNA from 1 species
GGGGAUGUAAAGGUUUCGACGGGGACCACAAGCCCUGGUAAGCGAGCAGCGGUGCGGAACCGCUAUAAAAUCCGCAAAUUUAAAAUUAAACAACAACAAUAAAGUUGCUUACGCAGCUGCUUAAUUAGCAGCUGCCGUUCUUGCCGGAAGUACCGCGGUCCGGAUAAGAGCGUCGAUUAGCGGUGCACGUGAACCGGAGAGUGCCUUGUAUCCGGUCAUGAAUUUAAGGCUACCGACUUACAGAGCCUGCUGCAGGGCGCUGUGAAGAGGGAAACUUAAUACAGCAGCUACGCUCGUAGAAAGCCACGGUAAAUGAUUCUCGGACAGGGGUUCGAUUCCCCUCAUCUCCACCA